AGUGAACGCUGGCGGUAGGCCUAACACAUGCAAGUCGAACGGCAGCACAGUAAGAGCUUGCUCUUACGGGUGGCGAGUGGCGGACGGGUGAGGAAUACAUCGGAAUCUACUUUUUCGUGGGGGAUAACGUAGGGAAACUUACGCUAAUACCGCAUACGACCUACGGGUGAAAGCAGGGGAUCUUCGGACCUUGCGCGAUUGAAUGAGCCGAUGUCGGAUUAGCUAGUUGGCGGGGUAAAGGCCCACCAAGUCGACGAUCCGUAGCUGGUCUGUGAGGAUGAUCAGCCACACUGGAACUGAGACACGGUCCAGACUCCUACGGGAGGCAGCAGUGGGGAAUAGGGGACAAUGGGCGCAAGCCUGAUCCAGCCAUACCGCGUGGGUGAAGAAGGCCUUCGGUUUGUAAAGCCCUUUUGUUGGGAAAGAAAAGCAGCAGGUUAAUACCCCGCUGUUCUGACGGUACCCAAAGAAUAAGCACCGGCUAACUUCGUG
rnacentral:rRNA from 1 species